GAUGAUGAUCCCAAGCCUUCUGGCGAUCUCUUAAAAUAAAGCCUUAAAAUAAAACCUGGCAUGUUUUAAACAAACAGGUUUUGUAAAUAGAUCUUUAAACUCUUAAUCGUUUUAAAGCGCAUACAUUUGAAAAAAAGGCUUUAUGAAGAAAGCACUUUUAAGCUUUUCCAAUGAUUUAAGAUGAUACCGGGGAAGGUUUUCCGGUUUAUCCCGGAGGGCUUGUAGCUCAGUUGGUUAGAGCGCGCGCUUGAUAAGCGUGAGGUCGGAGGUUCAAGUCCUCCCAGGCCCACCAAUUUAUGCUCAUUUUUUGCGUAUCUUGAGCGUUAUGAAGCUUAAGCGUGUUAAAGCCUCUUUUAAAUCUUUGUUUCAUAUUUAAAGAUUUCUUUUAUCGUUCAAAGAUUGCCAAAAUUGCUAAAGAUUGUUUGUUCAAUUUAUUCCAUUAAAUUUAUCAGACCAUGGAGUUUAAAUUCAUGAGAUUUGUCAAAGAGAAUUUUAAAAUCCCUUUAAAGACAUAGAUAAAUUUGAUUGUAACAAAUUUAAAGGAUAGAAAUCAAAACGGUCUAAAUAAAAUAAAAUGCAGCUGAAAAAAGCGUAGGCAAUUUAAAUUGAUAAAAUGGCUUGAGAUUGAUUUUAGAGAGCAUUCUUUAGGGGCCGUAGCUCAGCUGGGAGAGCACCUGCUUUGCAAGCAGGGGGUCGUCGGUUCGAUCCCGUCCGGCUCCACCAUUUAGAUCAUCAUCAUGUUGUAAGAACACGGUUUAGUAAAAGGCUUUUUACCCUUUUGCUGGUUCU
rnacentral:tRNA from 1 species